UACGUAGGUGGCAAGCGUUGUCCGGAUUUAUUGGGGUUAAAGGGCGCGCAGGCGGCUUGGCAAGUCGAGUGUGAAAUCCCUUGGCUUAACUAAGGAAUGGCGCUCGAAACUACCUCGCUAGAGGACGGGAGAGGGAAGUGGAACUCUCGGUGUAGGGGUGAAAUCUGUAGAUAUCGAGAGGAACACCGGUGGCGAAGGCGGCUUCCUGGCCCGUAACUGACGCUGAGGCGCGAAAGCGUGGGGAGCAAACAGG
rnacentral:rRNA from 1 species